rnacentral:lncRNA from 10 species
CCAGGAGGCAGAGAAAAUGAAGGAAAACAGCUUUCUACAGCUCUUACCCCCACAACCCCCAUCUCUCUGUAACUUAAUUUUUCUUCUCAAGUUUCGAACAAGUACAGAUAGAACAACUUGUUUUCUAAUCUUUUUCUCUUUUUCUCAUUCCUCUUCUUUCUUUAUUCUUCUUUUCCCCCCUCUUUUUGUUUCCUUUUCCUGACUCUUGAAAACCAUGGCAAGUGCUUAUUAUUUCAGUUGAAUAUGUUAAAAAUUGUUAUCAAGAAGUUGAUUUUUUGUGUAUAAAAAUGGUGAACUAAGAUACUGUUAAAAGAGUGGAAUAAAUGAAGAGGAGAGACAGAAGAACCAAAGAUGGGAAAAGGACUGGAAAAGAAAAAGAGACUAAAAGGAAGACAUAGCACCACCUGAGGUUGGU